AGCGAACGCUGGCGGCGUGCUUAACACAUGCAAGUCGAACGUGAAAGUAGCAAUAUGAGUAAAGUGGCGUACGGGUGAGUAACACGUGGGUAAUCUACCUUAGAGUCUGGAAUAACGUGCCGAAAGGCGCGCUAAUACUGGAUAGAUCAAGCGCAAUGUAGAGUUGUGAUUGGGAAAGGGAGCCGGUAACGGCCUUCGCUUUAAGAUGAGCCCGCGUCUGAUUAGCUAGUUGGUAAGGUAAUGGCUUACCAAGGCGACGAUCAGUAGCUGGUCUGAGAGGAUGAUCAGCCACACUGGAACUGAAACACGGUCCAGACUCCUACGGGAGGCAGCAGUGGGGAAUCUUGCGCAAUGGACGAAAGUCUGACGCAGCCACGCCGCGUGAGUGAAGAAGGCCUUCGGUUGUAAAGCUCUGUCGGAGGGGACGAAAAACGUACUUAGUUAAGUAGCCUAGGAUCUUGAUGGUACCC
rnacentral:rRNA from 1 species